UUUCCGGUUGAUCCUGCCGGACCUGACUGCUAUCGGAUUGAUACUAAGCCAUGCGAGUCAUUGUAGUAAUACAAGGCAGACGGCUCAGUAACGCGUAGUCAACCUAACCUAUGGACGGGAAUAACCUCGGGAAACUGAGUAUAAUGCCCGAUAGAACAUUAUGCCUGGAAUGGUUUAUGUUCCAAAUGAUUUAUCGCCGUAGGAUGGGACUGCGGCCUAUCAGUUUGUUGGUGAGGUAAUGGCCCACCAAGACUAUUACAGGUACGGGCUCUGAGAGGAGAGGCCCGGAGAUGGGUACUGAGACACGGACCCAGGCCCUAUGGGGCGCAGCAGGCGAGAAAACUUUGCAAUGUGCGAAAGCACGACAAGGUUAAUCCGAGUGGUUUCUGCUAAAGGAACCUUUUGUCGGUCCUAGAAACACCGAUGAAUAAGGGGUGGGCAAGUUCUGGUGUCAGCCGCCGCGGUAAAACCAGCACCUCAAGUGGUCAGGAUGAUUAUUGGGCCUAAAGCAUCCGUAGCCGGCUUUGUUAGUUUUCGGUUAAAUCUGUACGCUUAACGUACAGGCUGCCGGGAAUACUGCAGAGCUAGGGAGUGGGAGAGGUAGACGGUACUCGGUAGGAAGGGGUAAAAUCCUUUGAUCUAUUGAUGACCACCUGUGGCGAAGGCGGUCUACCAGAACACGUCCGACGGUGAGGGAUGAAAGCUGGGGGAGCAAACCGGAUUAGAUACCCGGGUAGUCCCAGCUGUAAACUAUGCAAACUCAGUGAUGCAUUGGCUUGUGGCCAAUGCAGUGCUGCAGGGAAGCCGUUAAGUUUGCCGCCUGGGAAGUACGUACGCAAGUAUGAAACUUAAAGGAAUUGGCGGGGGAGCACCACAAGGGGUGAAGCCUGCGGUUCAAUUGGAUUCAACGCCGGAA
rnacentral:rRNA from 1 species